rnacentral:rRNA from 1 species
GUGGGGAAUAUUCCGCAAUGGACGAAAGUCUGACGGAGCAACGCCGCGUGAGUGAUGAAGGUUUUCGGACUGUAAAGCUCUGUUGUUUAGGACGAAAGUGCCUGUUGCAAAUAGUUACAGGUAUUGACGGUACUGAACGAGGAAGCCACGGCUAACUACGUGCCAGCAGCCGCGGUAAUACGUAGGUGGCAAGCGUUGUCCGGAAUUAUUGGGCGUAAAGAGCAUGUAGGCGGGAAUCUAAGUCUGUUGUGAAAAUGCGGGGCUCAACCCCGUAUUGCGAUGGAAACUGGGUUUCUUGAGUGCAGGAGAGGAAAGGGGAAUUCCCAGUGUAGCGGUGAAAUGCGUAGAUAUUGGGAGGAACACCAGUGGCGAAGGCGCCUUUCUGGACUGUGUCUGACACUGAGGCGCGAAAGCCAGGGGAGCGAACGGGAUUAGAAACCCUAGUAGUCC